rnacentral:pre_miRNA from 1 species
GGUGGAAUUGCUGGGUCAUAUGGUAACUCUAUGUUUAAUAUUUGGAGAAACUGCCAAACCAUUUUCCAAAGUGGCUGCACCAUUUUACAUUCCCACUAGCAAU